CGACAGAGCAAGACUCCCGUCUCAAAAAAAAAAAACAAAAGGCAUAGACUUCGCUCAAAUUGUCACCCUCUCCACAGGCUAUCCUUGACCAUCAUGUUUAAAAUUACAAUCCCUGCCUCUUGGAAAUCCCUGUGUUUUUGUUUUUUUUCCUUUUGAGACGGGAUCUCAUUCUGUUGCCCAGGCUGUGAAGCGGCACAAUCACAGCUCACUGCAGCCUCCACCUCCCUCCUCAGCCUCCCGAGUAGCUGGGACUACAGACACGCUGACAUUACAGGUGUGAGCCACCAUGCCCAGCCCCAACAUGUUAUUUUCUUAUACUUACUUUAUUUUCUGUCUCCCCUCCAGACAAUGUAAGUGCCAUGGAGGUUGAGAGAGUUUUUUUGCUCACAGUUGUAUUCCCGGUGCAUUAAACAGUGCCUAUGGCUGGGUGCAGUGGCUCAUACCUGUAAUCACAGCACUUUGGGAGGCCAGGGUGGGCAAAUCACUUCAGGUUAGGAGUUUGAGACCAGCCUCUAGGUCAGGAGUAGAGACAUGGCAAAACCCUAUCUCUACUAAAAAUACAAAAAAUUAGCUGAGCCUGGUGGCAUGGGUCUGUAAUCCCAGCUACUCGGGAGGCUGAGGCACAAGAAUCCCUUGAACCUGGGAAGUGGAGGUUGCAGUGAAC
rnacentral:lncRNA from 1 species